ACACGGCUUUUGCUUACGGAUCGGAGAAGCCCCUCGGUGAAGCCAUCGCCGAAGCUCUAAGUCUCGGUCUCAUUAAAUCACGCGACGACCUCUUUAUCACAACAAAAUUAUGGUGUAGCUUCGCUCAACGAGAUCAAAUUGUUCCUACCUGUAAAAUGAGCCUCCAGUAAGCACAUUUAUGAACUGAAAUUCUUAGUACGUCCAUUAAUUAUAUAAUUAUUGGUACCAAUAAGUUAUAAAUUUCUAUGUAGGAACCUUAAGUUGGACUACGUUGACUUGUACUUAAUACACAUGCCACUGAGGUUGAGUCAAAUGAUACAGAAGACACCAGUUGAUAAAGAAAUCAUACAUCCUUUGGAUAUGAAGGGAGUUUGGGAAGGCAUGGAAGAGUGUCAAAAAUUGGGUCUCACAAAGGCCAUUGGUGUCAGUAAUUUCUCUUGUAAGAAGCUAGAGGAAGUCCUUUCCAUUGCCAAAAUUCCUCCAGCAGUCAAUCAAGUGAGUUUUACUUCCCUCUCCGAAUACCUAUUUUUAGGAGUAAUGCUAUUCAUAAUUAGUGACUACAUUAGUCGUUUUACAUGACAGCUUCUUAUUUGAGGUAACAGAAUUACAAGAAACUAAUGUCUCGAAUAAAAAGUUGUCACAUAAGAUAACUACUGAUUAUUCUAUUUGAGGUAGGGGCGAUGCUAAACCUGUGUUUUGCCUAACUGAAAUAAGGUUGAGAUCAAUCCCGCGUGGCAGCAAAAACAACUAAGAGAAUUCUGUAAGGCGAAGGGUAUUCAUAUAACUGCAUACUCGCCACUUGGUGCAAACAAUACUAAUUGGG
rnacentral:lncRNA from 1 species